rnacentral:tRNA from 1 species
GGUAGGAUGUCUGAUGAAAGAAUUAUUUUGAUGUAAUAAAAAAGGUGAAUACUCACUCCUACUA